CCUACGGGCGGCAGCAGUGAGGAAUAUUGGUCAAUGGACGAGAGUCUGAACCAGCCAAGUAGCGUGAAGGAUGACUGCCCUAUGGGUUGUAAACUUCUUUUAUAUGGGAAUAAAAUGUUACACGUGUGGGAUUUUGUAUGUACCAUAUGAAUACGGAACGGCUAAAUCCGUGCCAGCAGCCGCGGUAAUACGGAGGAUCCGAGCGUUAUCCGGAUUUACUGGGUUUAAAGGGAGCGUAGGUGGAUUGUUAAGUCAGAUGUGAAAGGUUGCGGCUCAACCGUAAAAUUGCAGUUGAAACUGGCAGUCUAGAGUACAGUAGAGGUGGGUGGAAUUCGAGGUGUAGCGGUGAAAUGCGUAGAUAUCACGAAGAACACCGGUGGCGAAGGCAGCUCACUGGACUGCAACUGACACUGAGGCUCGAAAGUGUGGGUAGCAAACAGGAUUAGAUACCCUUGUAGUC
rnacentral:rRNA from 1 species